rnacentral:rRNA from 1 species
CGGGUGAGUAACGCGUGGGUAACCUGCCUUGUACAGGGGGAUAACAGUUGGAAACGACUGCUAAUACCGCAUAAGCGCACAGUAUCGCAUGAUGCAGUGUGAAAAACUCCGGUGGUAUAAGAUGGACCCGCGUUGGAUUAGCUAGUUGGUGAGGUAACGGCCCACCAAGGCGACGAUCCAUAGCCGACCUGAGAGGGUGACCGGCCACAUUGGGACUGAGACACGGCCCAA